UCCUACAAAAUCUUGCUUUCUUUUCUUUCCCUUCAUGUUAGUAAACCAAAUAUGAAAUAUUCCAUGCUAUACAAGUGAAAUUCAUCCAAACAACUUCUUUUUUGGUCUAAUGAAAUAUUGUAUGAACUCAUUGCUAAAUCACUUCUUUCUACCAUUUUGAACAGAAUAUUUUACGGACAUUUGCUAUGUCACGGUGUCAAAAACAUGCGACCUAAUUGGCAUCAUCAAGAAACUAUUUUGGCAUAAUGAUGAACCAGUGCCGUCGUUUCAAAAUGAGGAAGAUGCAGUCAACGAAUUGGAAAGAAUGCUGAAGAGGAAAGUAGAAUCUGGUCGUAUACUGUUGGUCCUAGAUGAUGUUUGGUCUGGGUCGGAAUCUGUCCUAGCCAAGUUUAAGAAAAUAUCGGGAUACAAGGUUCUGGUUACAUCUAGAAAUGAAUUUCCAGAAUUUGUUUCUACAUAUCACUUGAAAUUGUUGAGUGAAGAAGAUGCCAUGACUCUUUUCCGUCACUCAGCAAUCCCUGAGGAUGGGAGCGGUUCUUCCAUGCCCAGUGAAGACCUUGUGAAUACGGUGGUUUCUCACUCUACAUUAAUAUAUCACACCUGCAUUCAUCUUGUUUCCCUGCAAACCAGAACUAAUUUAAUUUGGUACUGGCGCUGAACUGCAGAUAGUGAGGUGCUGCAAGGGAUUUCCACUGGCCCUGGAAGUGGUUGGCAGAUCACUCCAUGGGCAGCCUGUAGAGAUCUGGAGAAGCACACUGAUGAAAUUAUCUGAAGGUGAAUCCAUAGUCAAUUCUGAAGAUGAACUGCGUAAUUGUCUUCAAAGUAGCUUAGAUGCCCUUGAUGACAAGGAUAUUAUGCUGAAGGAGUGUUUUAUGGACUUGGGCUCAUUUCCUGAAGACCAAAAAAUCCCUGCCACUGCUCUUAUAGAUAUGUGGGCGGAAUUGCACAAACUAGAUAAAGACGGCAUUGAUGCCAUUUCCAACCUUCAGAAACUCUGCUCUCGGAAUCUGCUUAAUCUUGUGGUCACAAGGUACACAGGCUUGCUAUUUGUCUUUAAAGCAGUAACUUUUUGUCUUUUUUGUCUUUAUAAUCUUAUAAUUUAGUCUAUCAGCAUUUUAUGCAAUUAGUAAUGUUCUAUUACAAUCGCUAUAGAGAAAAGAAAUCUAUUAACGCUAUCAUUGAAGGGGGAUUCCAACUCCUGCUAAUUUCUGCAAUUUUUACCCCAUUUGUUUUGGAGAUGGUCAAAUCAAAUGAGCACAAAAACAAAUAAGACUUAUAUUUCUUGAUUUGCAAUUAUAUUCUUCAAUCCAUAAUAUCACUCUAACCAAUUUCUGCGGGUUCUCCAGGAAUGAUGCAAAUGAGAUUGAUUGGUGCUACAACGAUGCCUUUGUCAUGCAGCAUGAUCUUCUCAGGGAUCUAGCCAUUUAUCAGAGCAACCAGGAGCCCAUAGAAAAGAGGAAAAGACUAAUCGUGGACUUGACAGGAAACAGACUCCCCGAGUGGUGGACUAAAGAAAUGCAACCCCGAUUAAGUGCCCGUCUUGUGUCCAUCUCCACAGGUCCCCCCUCUCUCUCUCUCUUUCUAUUUCUUAUAAUUGGAAUCUAAUAUUUCAUACAGUAUUUGGCAUUACUUCUUUCCCUACCUUCUGACACUUUAUAGGAUAUUUUGUAGACGAAAUGUUCUCCUCAAGCUGGUGCAACAUGCAACUUCCUGAAGCUGAGGUUCUAAUACUGAACUUUAAUCAGACAGAAAAGAAAUACGAAUUGCCAGAGUUCAUGAAGCAAAUGGAUGAACUGAAGGUCCUAGUAGUAACAAAUUAUGGUUUCUGCACUGCUGAAUUGACUAAUUUUUCAGUACUUGGUUCCUUAUCCAAUCUAAAGAGAAUCAGGUUAGAGCAAGUUUCUAUUCCAACACUAUGCAACACCAGUAUAGAAUUGAAGAAUCUGGAGAAGCUAUCCUUAGUCAUGUGUCAUAAGAUUGGUCAGGCUUUUGCAAGUAGUACCAUCCAGAUUCCAGAAAUGUUACCCAACCUUAGGGAAAUCAACAUUGAUUACUGUAAUGACUUGGUGGAAUUACCAGAAGGGUUUUGUGAUUUAGUCCAGCUGAAUAAGCUGAGCAUCGGCAACUGCCAUAAGCUGUCUUCACUGCCGGAAGGAAUAGGGAAGCUUACAAAUCUGGAAGUGCUAAGGGUUAGUGCCUGUACAUUGGUGUCAAAAUUGCCAGACUCAAUGGGAAGCCUCCACAAGUUGAGGGUUCUUGAUAUAACUGGUUGUUUACGAAUUAGGAAAAUGCCGAAACAAAUAGGCGAGUUGCGUAGUCUAAGAGAGUUCCACAUGAGAAGGUGCCCGGGUUUGUGCGAGCUGCCAUCAUCAGUGACGGAUCUCGUGGAUUUGAAGAGGGUAAUCUGCGAUGAAGAGACUGCCCAGCUGUGGGAAUGUUAUACGCACUUGCUCCCCGAUCUCACCCUAUCAGUGCCUGAAGAAAUUAUCAACUUGAAUUGGCUUUAAAGUACUGGUUUCUGAAAAGCGUUCAUCCUCCAAAGUGCUGAAACGGACGCCUAAUUAUAUUCAAACAAGGUGGACUUGUUUGAAUAAUUAUAGCUCUAUUCGACGUGUGAAAUCUGGUGAAAAUUACAAGAAGCUGUGGUAUCAUAAUUCCAUUUGUCAUAUUUGGUUCAGGCUUCAAUCAAGGAAUGCAUUUUCCUGCACCCCGUUCUCAGUGCCAACUUUGGCUCGCAUUAAGGGAAAUUUCGUGUGAACUUUUUUCACACUAAAACUGAAUCUGGCUGGAGGUUAGUUUAAAACGGGACUUGAUACUGAUUCGGGUUGGCCAAGGCGCAGGCUCGUAUUGAUCUAUGAAGUUCAUGGACCACAAAGAUCAAAAAUGGAUUCGGUUGCAUUUCUGAACUUGGAAAUUCCUAUUACAGCAAGGUAUAUCAAAACCACCUAGAAGAGGUGGAGUCUCCUAACAAUGAUCCUACCUAUUUGGAAUUUUUUGUUUUUAUUUUUUCUAUCAAUUCCGUUUUGUACCGAGACUAAGGUGGAGUUUGUUUUUUUGACUUUAUUUUAAAUAUAAUUUUAAUGGUUAAUAGUGUUAAAUAUUAGAUUGUUUUUUUUUUUUUAAUAUUUUAUUUCAAUUAAACAUUAAAAAGUAAGGUAAAACAGACAAAAUAUUUUUUCUAUUUUGAAAAAGUUAAAUAUUUUGGUUUUUUCUAUUUAACAAAAAAAUAUAUAAUAAAUCAUGAAAAAAUAGAAAAACAAACAAUCUAAAGUUUGAAAGCAAAUUAUUUCUAGAAAAAAAUUAAAAAAAAAAAAAUCCUCUAAAUCACAUGUAAGAAUGAAUGCACCAAUACUUUAUCAAUAAGUAAAUAAAUGUGAUUCACAAAUGAAUGUAAUAACAUUUCCCAAUCAAGAAUUAUAUGAAUGUCUAACUACACAAUUCACAAACUUAAAUAUUCUUUACUUCCAAUAAAAACAAAGCUGGAAAUUAUCAAACUUUUUCAAGGAGUACACAAUCAAACUUUAGCUCAAAUUCUUUAAAAACAUACUUAUUAAAAUAUGGUAAUUUUUUUUUAGCAAAGAUAAACACAAAAAAAAUUAACUAAUGAAGAUAUAGAGAGAAUAAAGUAAUGACGCUAAGAUUUAAUGUGAAAAAAAUAUCAAUAGAGAUAAAAAAUCAUAAACCUAUAUAAGCAAUCAAGAGCAUUUACUACGAAGAAAAACUAACUCAAUAUAAAGUUUUACCUAACUCAAGUCUACAUAUCCUUCUCGAACUACUUGAUCAACACCUUCCAACUUCAACUUCACACAUUUUUCUUCUGAAAUACACUUGAAGUCCACACCAAACUUGAUCUUAGUUUUUUCUUGAACCCGCAUAAGAAGAAAAUAGGUUUUCAUUCGAACCCAAAUCAACAAGAACACGAGAUGAAUGGAAGAAAUGAAUCAACCAUUUCUCAAAAAGCUCAAUCAAAAAACUGAUUUGGAAAUCAAAGUAAUGAGGACUUUCUUGGCAACCAAACCCUUUCAAUUUGGAUGGGAGAGAGAGAGAGCUCAAAGGGAGUGAGAAAAACGGUUAUUGAUGUUCUCAACUCCCUAAAAUAGAAACAUUUGUUUAAAUAAGUUGAAGAAUCCUUAAUGCAAUGAUGGAAAAAUGAUUCAACAACAAAUAAAUUGAUCCUACAUAAAUCUGGAUUGAUCUUGGAACAUGACACAAAAAUACUUAGCCAAAAAAAUGUUUCCCCAAGUCAUUGAAAGCUUCUUUAGAAUAUUUUCGUUAAUUUUAAAAACUUGGUUGAUUUAAUUUCAUCAAUAUCACAACUUCAACUACAUACCUUAACCUCUAAACACUUAGAAUAAGUAGUUCAAGGAAGGAUUUGAUAGACCCCAAUUGAAAGAAUAUUUAGAAGUUUUUGACCUAAAAUUGCCAAUCUAUGUAAAACACUCACAGGUCUGUUAAGAGAUUUUCAUCCUUAAGGUUUUUAUAUUAUCUUUUAGAUUUUAUUUUAUUUGAUCCUUUUGUUACAAAAUAACUAUUUGUAACAGUCUUAUUUCAAAAUUAGAUAAGUGAUUGAACUAAAAAUAUUAUUCAUUGGUGGUUCAAUGGUUAGGUCAAUGUUUGAAACACAUUUGAAAGAAUAUAUAUAUAUAUAUAUAUAUAUAUAUAUAUAUAUAUAUAUAUAUAUAUACUCUCAAAAUUUUAAUAAUAUUUUAUUUUUAUAUUUGAUGUUGUUAAAUUAAAUAAUAAAAAUAAAAAUAAAAAUAUUAAUAUUUUUUAAUUUUAUUAAAUAAAACAUGUAUAAUAUUUAAGUGUAAAAAUAUAUUUAAUAUGAAAGAAAAAAUAUAAUUUUUAAUUUUAUCUACAUUUCAAAGGUUAUAUAUCUUAUUAUUUUAUAAUUUUUAAAAAUUAUUAUAUUAUUUAACUUGUAAUAUUUUCAUACUUAUCAUUAUAAAAUUAAAUGUGAAGGUAAACAUAUAUGUUUGUAUAUAUAUAUAGACACGCCUAUGUAUGUGCGUGUGUUAUAUUUUAUAGCAAUAUCAAAUAAAAGUGAUCUCAUAGCUCAAUGGUUCAAUUAUCUUGUGGCUUGAGUCUUCCUAACGCAAAAGUUCUUUUUUGCACCUUAUAAGCAGUCCCAUGUAUAAGAAUAUGAAGUUGAUAGAUUGUAUAAACACGUUACAACAUAUAUAAGCCUAACAAGUUGGUGCAGUGGUAGGUUGCUAGCAUUAUUGGGCCAAAAGGUGCAACUACCCAUUAUCAUCUUAUGUUAAAUAAGAGUUGAUUGAUUAUUAGAGAACCGAUCAAUCUGCCCAGCUCGAAUGGUUCAACACCAGCCUAACUCAUAAGCUACUCAACUAAGCCAAUCGAAUAGGAGAGGUCGACAGUCUAGUCGAUACAGUGCAGUUUUUGAAACUUUAAUAUGUACAAAUAACUUCUAACAAGCUUGAGAUCCUUUCUUCUCUACUUGAGAGAAUGUCUCAUGUUGAUUUCAUGCAUUCUGCAUUCAAUGACUUCAAAUAGUAGUGUCAUUUUCUCUUACUUUCUAUUGUCAGCUAGCAGACACACAACUCCCCUUCUGAUUUUGGGGGUUGUGGUGAAGAGAUAUCGAUGGCUUUGGCGCUUGUUGAAGGGGCUGCUCUGGGAGCAGGAAUACGGAGUUUGCUAAGGGCGGUCAUAAAAGCAAGUAAAAAGUUAGCCGGGUUCGACUGCAUCCUCAAAAAACUCGAAGCCAUUUAUCCAAGUGAUGGAAAGGUUGAACCACGAAUAGGAUCGUCCAAGGAAGGAAAUGAAGAAGUUGAUCCAAAUCUUACAAGAUGGAGAGAAGCUAAUCCAAGACUGCUCUCGCUGCUACUGCUACCAGAGGAUGGGGUAUGCCAAUAAAAUUAAAGCCUUCGAUGCCUAUCUUCUUAGAUUGUUUCAGGUGGAUGUGCAAGUCCAACUCACUAGCAGAUUCUGGCCAUGCUCAAAUCAAAUAGAUUCAGUUGGAAUAACAGCUAACAGAGGGGUUUCGGAUGAAUAUGAUAACCUGGGUUCUUGCAACGCUCCUGGUCCACCGGAAUUUAUGAUGGGAUUAGAUGUGCCUCUCAAAGAAUUGAAGAGGCGGCUGUGUGAGGAUGGGAAAUCAAGGAUUGUGAUCAGGGCUCCUAGAGGAUGUGGGAAAACCACUUUGGCUAAAGGGCUUUGUCUCGACAAUCAAGUCAAAGGUAUUCAUACAAAAUCCUUUUUUUUUUGUUAUUAAUUUUUUAAUAUUACUUUUAGAUUGCUUCAAAUACAUUCAUUUCGCUAUUUUAUCUCCUACUUAAUUUUUUUAUAAAUAAAAAGGACAAUAUAUUAACAGUGCUUAAUUUUUUUUAAAAUCAUACUUAUAUAAUAAUAUCAAAUAAAUUAUAAUAAAAAAAUAAAGAAUUUUAAAAUUUAUUUCUAGCAUACCCUUUUAUCUUUUUGUUAAUUUAAAAAAAAACUAUAAUAAAUAAAAUUUAAAGAUAAAUUAUAAUAAUGAAUAUAAAAUACAAAAUCAGUCAACAAAUUUAAAAAAAAAAAAUUAAAUUACAGUAAAACUAAUAUAAAAUAAUAGUCUUGGAAUAAAACAAAAUCAUUGUUUUAAUGGGAUCAUAAAUGAAUAAUUUAUUGAUUUAUAGAUAAAUAAAUAUUUAUUAAUUUAUGAAUAGUACCAAAUAAAGCUUUAUCUAAUAUACAAAAGUAUAUAUCAUGAUUCUUCUACCAAUAAAUACAUGUAUUGUACGAUGAAUAUGAAAAAAUGGGUCAUUAUCUGUGCAACUUAUAUUUGCAAAUGCCAUGUUAAGAAGCAUGUAUGACUAGUGCAAAUACACCUUUUUUUAUCAUUGCUUAUUACGAUACUUAUGUAUGAUUUGUGGAUCUAAAAACAAUUAAUAUAGUAAAAAGUUAAUACAUAAAAGCUUUAGAAAUUUAGAAAAAGAAGAUAAGGUUAUUAAUAGUAGAAGAUAGAAAGACUCACCCCUUAUACUAAAAUUUCGGGAUGUAUAUGAUCUGAAAUAACCUAGACACCUUUCCGCACUCAAACCCAUGUAACAUAGGAAUUACCUGUUUCUCCUAUUUUUGAACAGAAUAUUUUAAGCACAUUUUGUAUGCCACGGUAUCAAAACGGCCCAACCUAAUUGCCAUCAUUAAGAAACUACUUUGGGACAAGGAUGAACAAGUGCCAGAGUUCCGAAAUGAGGAAGAUGCAGUCAAUCAAAUGGAACUGAAACCGAAGAGGAAAGCAGAAUCUGGUGCUAUACUGUUGGUCCUAGAUGAUGUUUGGUGUGGAUCAGAAUCCCUCUUAGCCAAGUUCAAGUUCCAGAUAUCAGAAUCCAAGGUUCUGGUUACAUCAAGAAAUGAAUUUCCAGAAUUUGGCUCUACAUAUAACCUGGAAUUGUGGAAUAAGGAAGAUACCAUGGUUCUUUUUCGUCAUUCAGCAACCCCGAGCAUGGAAACUGUUAUUUCACACACAGUAAUGAUCUUGUGACGAAGGUGGUUUGUCACUCUACAUUGCACGUAUACUUCAUCUAUAUGCAUUCAUUUGUUUUCUCUCCAAACCACAAGUGAUUUCAUUUGUUAGUAGUGCUCAACUGCAGUCUGCAGACAGUGAGGCACUGCAAGAGACUUCCACUGGUCCUGGAAGUGUUGGCAGAUCACUCCAUGGGCAGCCUGUAGAGAUCUGGAGAAGCCGACUGAUGAAAUUAUACGAAGGUCAAUCCAUUGUCGAUUCUGAAACUGAUCUGCGUAAAUGUCUUCAAAGUAGCUUAGACGCCCUAAAUGACGAGGAUGUUAUGCAGAAGGAGUGUUUUAUGGACUUCACCAGGAAUGAUGCAAGCGAGAUUGAUGGAUGCUACAGCGGUGCCUUUGUGAUGUAGCAUGCCUUUUUUGCACUUUCCCUUAUUUCCUCUCAAGUUUGCUUUCUUCCUCUGGGUUUUCCUCUCUAUUUCUUCAUAUUUACAGUGUGCUAUUUUUUUUUUUUUUAAAUUUCAAAUAAAUUUUAAUAAACACUAAUAAUUAAAUAUAAAGAAUUGAAUUAUUAAGUUGUCUGUUUGAAUACUUCUUAUUUUUUAUUUAAAAAAAUAUAAAAUGAUAAUAGCUCCAUAUAAAAGGGAAGAAUUUUUUGAGACUUGACUUUAAAAAAUUUAACACUUACAAUAUUCUAUAUAGAUGUUACAAUUAUUUUUUUUACUUUUAUAACUAAAAAUAAAUUUUUUUAUUUUAAAAAUAAAAAAUAAUAGUACUUUCUAUAUAAAACAGAGGAAUUUUAGUAACAUAAAAGAUUAAAAAAUUCAAGCUAUUGAAUUUUUUUUAUUAUAGUAAAUUUUAAGGCUUGAAAAUGUAAUUUUUAAAGGUAUAUGAUAAUUUUUGUAUAAAAAAUCCUUCUUUUUAUUUUAAAAAUAAAAGUAAAAAACGAAAAGUAAGAUUCUAUUUGAAAAGUGUUUUUAAAUGUUUUAUGAUUUUUUUUUAAAACAAAAGUUGAGAAUUUGAAAUAUUUUUAAUUUAUUUUUUAUGUUUUUAAAUAUAUUAUAAAGAUAAUUUUAAUAUGUUGAAUUCCGUACAUUUUCUUUGGACUAAAAGUCUAGAAAAGUUAUGAAUUAGAAUAAAUAUAGAUAAUUUUUUAUAUUUUAGAAAUGGUGUUGGUGGUAUCAUUCAAUAAAAUAAAUAAUUAUUAAUAUUAAUUAUAAAAGGAAAGAAGAAUUUAUAACAUAUCAAAUUAAUUAACAAAAAUAUUUAAAAUGUUGAAAAGAGAGUUUUUGAUUUUAUUAAAAAGUUUAUCAGAAAAUUCAAAUAAUAUUUGUAAUUUUUUUAAAAAAAAAAUAGUAAAAAAAAAUCUUGUUAAAACAUUUUUAAUAAUUUUCAAAAAUGUUUUUUGUAGAGAAAAUUUUAAAAUAAUUUAUAAUUUCACUAAUAAAUUUAUUAGAUUUUUUUUUUGAAAUAACUAAGGCUUGAUAGUUAUAAAAUUUUAAUUUAAAAGUUGUGAAUGAAUAUAAAGUUAUUGUUAAAACUUAAGAUAAAAAAUAUAUUUGAUAAAAUAUCAAAUAUUUAAAUAAAAUUAAAAUUUAUCAAUAAUUAAAUAAUAUAUAUUGAAUAAUGUGUAAUUAUUUUCAAAUUAGCAAAUAUUUUAUUAAACAUAAAAGUCAAAACAUUUAAAAAAUAUCAAAAUCAAACAAAACCAACAAAAACAUAUUAUUAAAUAAAAAAAUUAUAAAAAAUUUAUUUUAUAAUAAAUUUAAUUUUAUAAAUAUUAAAUAAAAUUUUAAAAAACAUUUUAUAAAAUCUAUUUGAUAUUCAUACUUAUCUAAUUUUUUUUUACACACAAAAUUAAUUUCUUAGAGGGGCAAAUUUGCAUUUUUACUUUUUUUUUUUAAUAUUAUAAAAUUUCUAAAUAAAUAUAAGAAAAGUUUUAUUUUUUGAAAAUUUGAGGGAGUAAUGUGUCAUUGUGUCCCCCACUAAGAGUAUGGCGUCCGCCCCUCAUAAGUUGUACGGAUAAUGCAUACUAGAAGUCUAGAAUAUUGAUUUAAGGAAGAGCAUGAGUGAAGCAGUAGGUAAAGGGUUUGCCUUCUCAUUUCUCAAGUCUGCAUAAAGUCCACCACAGUGGAUUCCCAAAAUUUCCAUGAAGUACAGUGGAAACUCCUUGGCUACCUUCAAGUUCCAGAGCUCACUAGCCAAAACACAGUAGGAGAAGGGAGAAACCAACGUCUGAUUUCGAAUCUGUAUGUUGUAAUAUUGUUUUGUUUUGAGGGGAAUUUAAAACUAGGGCUUAGAUUGGAUCUUGUUUUCUAUUCAAGUAUCUUGAUUUCUUCUGUUUCCUACAACUUUUCUCCUCUAGCAAACACAAAACUCCUUCUAAUUUUGGGGGUUGUGGUGAGGAGAUACUGAUGGCUUUGGAGCUUGUUGGAGGGGCUGCGUUGGGAGCAGUGUUUGAGAAGUUGUUCGCGGCGGUUGAAGAUGCAAGGACUAAGGCAACCAAGUUCUACUCCAGCCUCAAAAAACUCGAAGAGACACUCAAAUCCAUAAAUCCAAGUAUCCUAGAGAUGAAAAGGAUGAACGACCAGUUGGAUCGUCCAAAGGAGGAAAUGGAGAAGUUGAUCCAAAUCUUAAAAGAUGGGGAGAAGCUAAUCCACAAGUGCUCCAAGGUCUCUUGUCGCAACUACUUCAAGAAGUGGAGGUACGCCAAUGAAAUCGAGGCCUUGGAGGACUCUCUUCGUAAAAUUUUUCAGGUGGAAUUGCAAGCCCAACUCAGUAGGAACAACAUGCAGAUUCUGGUCCUGCUCAAAUCAAAUAGAUUCAGUUGGAGUAACAAAGGGGUUUCCGUUAAAUAUGAAAGUUUGGGUUCCUGUGAGGCUACUGAUCCGCCGGCUUUUAUGGUGGGACUAGAUGUGCCUCUCAAAGAAUUGAAGAGGUGGCUGUUUACGGAUGGGGAAUCAAGGAUUGUGGUGUCGGCUCCUGGAGGAUGUGGGAAAACCACUUUGGCUAAAAGGCUUUGUCACGACCAACAAGUCAAGGGUAUUCCUACAAAAUCUUGCUUUCUUUUCUUUCCUUCAUGUUAGUAAACCAAAUACGAAAUAUUCCAUGCUAUACAAGUGAAAUUCAUCCAAACAACUUCUUUUUUGGUCUAAUGAAAUAUUGUAUGAGCUCAUUGCUAAAUCACUUCUUUCUACCAUUUUGAACAGAAUAUUUUCAGCACAUUUUCUAUGUCACGGUGUCAAAAACAUUCAACCUAAUUGGCAUCAUCAAGAAACUAUUUUGGCAUAGUGAUGAACAAGUGCCGGGGUUUCAAAAUGAGGAAGAUGCAGUCAACCAAUUGGAACUAAUGCUGAAGAGGAAAGUAGAAUCUGGUCGUAUACUGUUGGUCCUAGAUGACGUUUGGUCUGGGUCGGAAUCUUUCCUAACCAAGUUUAACUUCCAAAUAUCGGGAUGCAAGGUUCUGAUUACAUCUAGAAAUGAAUUUCCAAAAUUUGGUUCUACAUAUAACUUGAAAUUGUUGAGUGAAGAAGAUGCCAAGACUCUUUUCCGUCACUCAGCAAUCCCUGAGGAUGGGAGUGGUUCUUCCAUGCCCGGUGAAGACCUUGUAAAUACGGUGGUUUCUCACUCUACAUUAAUUUAUCACACCUGCAUUCAUUUUUGUUUCCCUGCAAACCAGAACUAAUCUUAUUUGGUGCUGGCGCUGAACUGCAGAUAGUGAGGCGCUGCAAGGGAUUUCCACUGGCCCUGGAAGUGGUUGGCAGAUCGCUCCAUGGGCAGCCUGUAGAGAUCUGGAGAAGCACACUGAUGAAAUUAUCUGAAGGUGAAUCCAUUGUCAAUUCUGAAGAUGAGCUGCGUAAUUGUCUUCAGAGUAGCUUAGAUGCCCUUGCUGACAAGGAUAUUAUGCUGAAGGAGUGUUUUAUGGACUUGGGCUCAUUUCCUGAAGACCAAAAAAUCCCUGCCACUGCUCUUAUAGAUAUGUGGGCGGAAUUGCACAAACUAGAUAAAGACGGCAUUUAUGCCGUUAUCAACCUUCAGAAUCUCUGCUCUCAGAAUCUGCUUAAUCUUGUGGUCACAAGGUACACAGGCUUGCUAUUUGUCUUUAAAGUAAUAACCUUUUUUCCUUUUUCUCUUGAUAAUCUUAUAAUUUUGUGUAUCAGCAUUUUAUACAAUUAGUAAUGUUCUAUUACAAUCACUAAGAGAAAAGAAAUCUAUUAACGCUAGCAUUGAAGGGGGAACUCCUGCUAAUUUCUGCAAUUUUUACCCCAUUUGUUUUGGAGGUGGUCAAAUCAAAUGAGCACAAAAACAAAAUAAGACUUAUAUUUCUUGAUUUGCAAUUAUAUUCUUCAAUCCAUAAUAUCACUCUAACCAAUGUCUGCGGGUUGUCCAGGAAUGAUGCAAAUGAGAUUGGUUGGUGCUACAAGGAUGCCUUUGUCAUGCAGCAUGAUCUUCUCAGGGAUCUAGCCAUUUAUCAGAGCAACCAGGAGCCCAUAGAAAAGAGGAAAAGACUAAUCGUGGACUUGACAGGAAACAGACUCCCCGAGUGGUGGACUAAAGAAAAUCAGCCCCAAUUAAGUGCUCGUCUUGUGUCCAUCUCCACAGGUCCCCCCUCUCUCUCUCUUUCUAUCUCUCAUAAUUGGAAUCUAAUAUUUCAUACAGUAUUUGGCAUUACUUCUUUCCCUACCUUCUGACACUUUAUAGGAUAUUCUGUAGAUGAAAUGUUCUCCUCAAACUGGUGCAACAUGCAACUUCCUGAAGCUGAGGCUCUAAUACUGAACUUUAAUCAGACAGAAAAUAAAUACGAAUUGCCAGAGUUCAUGAAGCAAAUGGAUAAACUGAAGGUUCUAGUAGUAACAAAUUAUGGUUUCUGUGCUGCUGAAUUGACUAAUUUUUCAGUACUUGGUUCCUUAUCCAAUCUAAAGAGAAUCAGGUUAGAGCAAGUUUCAAUUCCAAGACUAUGCAACACGAGUAUGGAAUUGAAGAAUCUGGAAAAGCUAUCCUUAGUCAUGUGUCAUAAGAUUGGUCAGGCUUUUGCAAGUAGUACCAUCCAGAUCCCAGAAAUGUUACCAAACCUUAGGGAAAUCAACAUUGAUUACUGUAAUGACUUGGUGGAAUUACCAGAAGGGUUUUGUGACUUAGUCCAGCUGAAUAAGCUGAGCAUCAGCAACUGCCAUAAGCUGUCUGCACUGCCGGAAGGGAUAGGGAAGCUUGCAAAUCUGGAAGUGCUAAGGGUUAGUGCCUGUACAUUGGUGUCAAAAUUGCCAGACUCAAUGGGAAGCCUCCACAAGUUGAGCGUUCUUGAUAUAACUGGUUGUUUACGAAUAAGGAAAAUGCCGAAACAAAUAGGGGAGUUGCGUGGUCUAAGAGAGCUCCACAUGAGAAGGUGCCCAGGUUUGCGCGAGCUGCCACCAUCAGUGACGCUUCUCGUGGAUUUGGAGAGGGUAAUCUGCGAUGAAGAGACUGCCCAGCUGUGGGAAUGUUAUACGCACUUGCUCCCCAAUCUCACCCUAUCAGUGCCUGAAGAAAUUAUCAACUUGAAUUGGCUUUAAAAUACUGGUUUCUGAAAAACUUUCAUCCUCCAAAGUGUUGAACCGGACGCCUAAUUAUAUUCAAACAAUGUUCGACUUAUGAAAUCUAGUAACUUUCAUCGGCUGUUUGUCAUAUUUGGUUCGGGCUUCAAUCAAGGAAUGCAUUUUCCUGCACCCCGUCCUCAGUGCCAACUUUUGUUCACAUUAAGGGAAAUUUCGUGUGAACUUUUUUCACACUAAAAUUGAAUCCGGCUGGAGAUUGAUUGGUUUAAAGCGGGACUUGAUAUUGAUUAGGGUUGGCCAAGGCGCAGGCUUGUAUUGACCUAUGAAGUUCACUGACCACAAAGAUCGAAAAUGGAUUCGUUUGCAUUUCUUAACUUGGAAAUUCCUAUUACAGCAAGGCAUAUCAAAACCGCCUAGAAGAGGGGGAGUCUCCUAACAAUCAUUCCCCCUAUUUAGAAUUUUUUGUUUUUAUUUUUUCUAUCAAUUCUUUUACUAAGUGAUGUUUGUUUUUUUGACUUUUUGUUGAAAGUAAUUUAGUUUUACAAUUUAGGUUGUUUGUUUUUUUACUUUUUCAUAACUUAUUAUAAACUUUUUACUAAAUAGAAAAAAUUAAAAUAUGUAACUUUUUUCAAAUAGAAAAAAUAAUAUAUUGAUUUUUUUUAUUUUUUAAUACUUAAUAGAAAUAAAAUACUAUAAAAACAAAUAACCUAAUAUUUAACACUAUUAAAUAUUAAUGUUCUAUUUAGAAUUAAGUAAAAAAACAAACACCACCUAAAUAUUUCUUACAUACAUAACACUCUAUCAAUAAGUAAAAUAAAUGCGAAUCACGUAUUAAUGGAACAACAUUUUCCAAUCAAGAAUUAUAUUAAUGUUGGACUACACAAUUCACAAACUUAAAUAUUCUUUACUUUUGAUAAAAACAAAAUUGGAAAUUACCCAUCUUUUUCAAGGAAUAUACAAUCAAACUUUAGCUCAAAUUCUUUAUACAUAUACUUAUUAAAAUAUGAUAAUUUUUUUAGCAAAGAUAAAUACAAAGAAAAUGAACUAAUGAAGAGAUAGAAAAUAAAGUAAUGACACCAAAAUUUAAUAUGACAAAAUAUCAAUAAAGAUAAAAAACUAUAGGCCUACAAGAAAUCAAGAACAUCUACUACGAAGAAAAACUAACCCAGUACAAGGUUUUAUUUAAUUCAAGUCUACAUAUCCUGCUUGAACUACUUGAUCAACAUCUUCCAACUUCAACUUCACACCUUCUUCUUCUAAAACAUACUUGGAGUCCACACUAAACUCAAUCUUAAUUUUUUCUUGAAUCUUUAGAAGAAGAAAAUAGGUUAUCAUUCAAACCCAAAUCAACAAGAACACAAGAGAUGAAUGGAAGAAAUUAAUCAACCAUUUUUCAAAAAACUGACUUGGAAAUCAAAGGAGAAUUUUCUUGGCAACCAAACACUUCCAAUUUGGAUUAGACCUCAAAGGGAGUGAGAAAAAUAGUUGUUGGUGUUCUCCACUCCCUAAAAUAGAAAUAUUUAUUUAAAUAAGUUGAAGUAUUCCUGAUCCAAUGACUGAAGAAUGAUUCAACAAAAAAUAAAUUGAUCCUACAUAAAUUUGGAUCGAUCUUGGAACAUGGCACAAAAAUACUUAUCCAAAAAAAUGUUUGCCCAAGUCUCCCAAAGCUUCUUUAAAAGAUUUUCAUUAAUUUGAAAAACUUUGUUGGUUUAAUUUCAUCCAUAUCACAACCCCGACUACAUACCUUAACCUCUAAACACUUACAAUAACUAGUUCAAUGAAGGAUUUGAUAGACCUGGGAGAAUACUUAGAAGUUUUCACCUAAAAUUGUCAAUCUAAGUAAAACAAUCACAUGUAUGUUAAGAGAUUUUCAUCCUUAAGGUUUAUAUAUUUUCGUUUAGAUUUUAUUUUAUUUGAUCCUUUGUGUUACAAAACAAUUAUUUGUAAUGGUCUUAUUUCAAAAUUAGAUAAAUGAUUGAAUAGGAAACAUUAUUCAUUGAUGGUUUAAUGGUUAGAUCAUUGUUUGAAUCACAAUCAAAAGAAUAUAUAUAAUCUAAUUUUUUUUAAUAAUAUUUCAUUUUUAUAUUAGAUGUUGUUAAAUUAAAUGAUAAAAAUAAAGUAAAUGCAUUAAUAUUUUUAAUUUUAUUAAAUAAAACAUGUAUGAUAUUUAAGUGUAAAAAUAUAUUUAAGAUGAAAGAAAAGUUAUAAUUUUUAAUUUUAUCUACAUUUCAAAAGUUAUAUAUCUUAUUAUUUUAUAAUUUUUAGAAAUUAGUUUAUUAUUUAACUUAUAUUAUUUUCAUACUUACCAUUAUAAAAUUAAAUGUGAAGGUAAAUAUUUAUGUUUGUUUAUAUAUAUAGCGUAUGUAUGUGUGUGUAUUAUAUUUUAUAGCAAUAUCUAAUAAAGUGAUCUCAUAGUUCAAUGGUUCAAUUAUCUCGUGGCUCGAGUCUUGCUAACGCAAAAAAAAAGAAAAAAAAUUCGCACCUUAUAAGCAAUCUCAUGCAUAAGAUUAUGAAAUUGAUAGGUUGUAUAGACACAUUACAACAAAUAUAAGCAGUGGUAGGUUGCUAGCAUUAUUGGGCCAAAAGGUGCAAUUACACAUUAUCAUUUUGGGUCAAAUAAGACUUGAUUGAUUCUUAGAGAACAGACCAAUCUGUCUAGUUCGAACAAUUUAACACUACUUUAACUCAUAAGCUACUCAAUUAAGCUAAUCGAAUUGGAUAGGUCAACGGUCUAGUCGUUUCAGUGCAAUUUUUAAAACCUUAAUAUGCACGAAUAACUUUUAAUCUCUAUUUGAGAAAAAUAGAAUAUCAUGUUAAUUUCAUGACUUCUGAAUUCAAUGGGAUGUUGUGGUUCAAACAUAUUACGAUGGUAAUGAUGCUUCUCGUAUUUAUAAACUUAUUGUUAGGAUUAUGUGUAAAUGAAUAUAAGAAAGCAAAUAUAAUGGAGGAGCAAUUGCAUAUAAAAGUAGAUAGAGAUAACGAAUAGAAAAAUGCAAGCAUGGGCCUUUAUAGUAGUUUAAUGCAACCCAACCUGCAUCCACUCUCCUCAAGCUUCAACAUUAAGUGUUCCGCUAACAAUACUUCCAACCAAAGCCUUCAAGUUUUGCCCUUGGAUUGUGGCUUUAAGGGAUCCUUUAUGACCAUAAGCCUUUUAAAACCAAAGUCUCCAAACUAUCUCCCUUGGAUUAUGGUUCCAAUGAACCCUCUCAAAAGAUACCCUACUCUUGAGUCCUCCAAUGAUCCUACAAUAGAUAUCCUCACAAGGUAUACAAAUGAAACAUAAAUAAGAUCCUAGUUAAUAGUUUUGGCUUAAAUUGGAUACAAAAAAACUAGGAUUGAGAGGUUUCCUAAGACGAAAUGUAAGUUUUGAAGCAAAAUGCAAUCAAACACAUAACUCCUCAUUCAAUACAAGAAGUUUAGGGCCUUUAAACAUGGGUUAGAAGCCUAAACUUGUCGUUGGAAAAAUUUGGGGUUGAUUGAUCAUCCAACUAGUUAAAUCUUACUACUAGCCAUUGAAGAAUUGUAGGUGAUCAUUAGGUCAUAGGAGUUUAACCAGUUAAUCUACCAAUUCAAUCCAUCCUUGACUAAUUGAGGCUCAAACUUAAUCAAUUAAAAUUGCUUUCUAGACCUUAGGAGGACAUUUGGCCCCCUUGACGAGUUGAACCAUUCCGACUCAACCAAUUCCUAUAUAUCUCAAUCGAUUUGAUGAAAAUGCAAGUUUUGAUAUCAAAAUGAGGUUGAGAAACAACAAUUAUUAACUUCCAUUUGUUGGGAUUUUUAAACAAAAUUUCGAAGAAGCUAUAAUAUUAUUUAAAAGCACUAACUACAAUUUGGAAUUAAUGGAAAUUAUACAAAAAUAAAAUAAAAUUAAAACUUGAAAAUAUGAGAAAUUUGAGGAGAAUACUAAGAGUGUGAGGUUUGUACCCUCCUAAUUUUGUACUUUUGUGAAUUUUUUUUUUAAAAUUCUACUUGCAAUAGCUAUAAUAUUAUAUAAAAAUACUAGUUACACUUAAGAUUAAUGGAAAUUAUGCACACAAAAAUUAAAACUUAAAAAUACUUAAAAAUUGAGAAGGGCAUGAAAAAUGUGAAAAUUUUCACUUUUUGGAAAUUUUAAAAUUCUUUUCCAUUUCCAAUAAUAUUAUUUAAAAAACUAAUCACACUUACAAUUGAUGAAAUUAUGCACAAAAAUUUAAAAUUUGGAAAUACUUAAAAAUUGGGGAAGCUUCAUGCCCUCUAAAUUUUGUAAUUUUUUUAAUUUGAUUUUUUUUUUCACUUCAAAUGGCUAUGAUAUUAUUUAUGCACACUAAUUACGCUUAACAUUGAUGGAAUUUAUGAAAAUAAAUUAAAAGGUUAAAAUACUUAGAAGUUCAUUAGGGCAUGAAAAAUGUGGAGAAUCCUCUUUUAAUUUUAAUUUCCAAAAUUUUCAACUUUUUUAAUUAAUUUUUUUUCCACUUCUAGUAGCUCUAAUAUUACUUAGGCAUCCUAAUCACAAUGAUCAUAACUUUUUCACUUGGUACUUUUUAUACCCUUCAAAUUUUACAUGUUUGUCUUAUUUAAAAAAAAAAAAUUCUUCAAAAAAUACUUUCAAUAUUUCAUCCAAUAUUCUCCAUAAAAAAUGGAAAUUAUAAUAAAAAAAUUUAAUAAUAUAAUUUUCGGUUAUUAUUUGAUAGAUUACCAAUUUAAUUUUUUAACAAUAAACAUUUAUUUUAAUUUAUUUAUAAAUGAUUUUUUUUCACAAAGUCUUAAUGUUAUAAUUUUAUACCAUAUAAUUAGUAGCAACUUUGAUUUUCUUACACAAAAUUUUUAUUUUUACAAAACUUUAAUUUGUUUACAACUUUUAUAAAAGUACUUAUUAAAUGAUAUAAUUGGAUGUUGCAAACAUAUCUUAAAUGUUAUGUGCAUGGAAUUCGUACCAUCUGGUUGGAGGUAUCAGGUAUGGUCAUAAAAAGUACAUCUGAGUUAUGACCCACAUGGAAAUGUUAUGGUAAUAAAAACUACAUUAAGGGUUUUUUUCCCCAAUUUGUUGUAGAUGUCAAAAAAUAAAUAAAUAAAUAAAAUAAAAUAAAAAAGCCAGCCAUCAACGGCUCCAUAGUCUCUCGAGGCAUUGUAAGCAGCAUUGAGCGUUCACAUUAGAGAGAGAAACAAAAUAUGAGGAAAAACCUUCAUAAUUUAUUCAUUUGUCAAUGGAGCCUACACAAGUCAAUGGAUUCCCAAAAUUUGGACGAAGAAAAGUGGAAACUUCGUGUGUACCUUCAGGCUCAAGAUGCGUCAUUUCUGGUCACUCACUCUCCAAAACACGCAAAGAAAAGGGGGGAAAGCAGAGUGUGGUUUCGAAGCUGUUAUGUCGCACCGAGUAAUGAUCUUGUGAGGAAGGGGGUUUGUCACUCUACAUUAAUAUAUCGCACCUGCAUCUAUACUUCAUCUAUAUGCAUUCAUUUUUGUUUCUCUCCAAACCACAAGUGAUUUCAUUUGUUAGUUCUGGUGCUCAGGCGCUCAACCGCAGAUAGUGAGACACUGCAAGAGACUUCCACUGGCCCUGGAAGUGGUUGGCAGAUCACUCCAUGGGCAGCCUGUAGAGGUCUGGAGAAGCCGACUGAUGAAACUAUCUGAAGGUCAAUCCGUUGUCGAUUCUGAAGCUGAUCUGCGUAAAUGUCUCCAGAGUAGCUUAGACGCCCUAAAUGACGAGGAUGUUAUGCUGAAGGAGUGUUUUAUGGACUUGGGCUCCUUUCCUCAAGACCAGAAAAUCCCUGCCACUGCUCUUAUAGAUAAAGAUGGGGUUGAUGCCAUUGCCAACCUUCAAAAACUCUCCUCCUGGAGUCUGCUUAAUCUUGUGGUCACGAGGUACACAGACUUGCUAUUUGUAUUUAAAUUAAAUGAUCGUUUUUCUUGUAAUUAGUUUGUUCACAGAAUGGUAUCCCAUAAAUAAUCUAAUAAUUUUGUCUAUCAACACUAGCAUGGGAGGGCUCCAAGUUCCAACUGCUUUUUUUUUUUUUUUUUUUCAAUUUCAAAUAAGUUUUAAUAAGCACUAAUAAUUAAAGACAAAGAAUUGAAUUAUUAAGUUGUCUUUUUGAAUACUUCUUAUUUUUUAUUUUUAAAAAUAAAAAAUGAUAAUAGCUCCACAAAAAAGGGGAGAAUUUUUUUAGACUUAAGACUUCAAAAAAACAAUAAUUUCAAAAGCUACUUUAAGACUUAUAAUAUUCUAUAAAGAUGUUACAACUAUUUUUUACUUUUAUAACAAAAAACGGAGAUUUUUUUUAUUUUAAAAAUAAAAAAUAAUAGUACUUUCUACAUAAAACAGAGGAAUUUUUAGAAACAUAAAAGAUUAAAAAAUUCAAGCUAUUGAAUUUUUUUUUAUUAUAUUAAAUUUUAAGGUUUGGAAGGGUAAUUUUUAAAGGUAUAUAUGGUAAGUUUUUGUAUAAAAAUUCCUUCUUUUUAUUUAAAAAAAUAAAAACAGAAAAUGGAAAUAAGAAGAUAAAGGCAAACUACAGCGUUUGCCUUCUCGUUUCUCAAGUCGACGUAAAGUCAAUCACAGCAGAUACCCGAAAUUUCCAUGAAGUACAGUGGAAACUCCUUGGCUACCUUCAAGUUCCAGAGCUCACUAGCCAAAACACAGUAGGAGAAGGGAGAAACCAACGUCUGAUUUCGAAUCUAUAUGUUGUAAUAUUGUUUUGUUUUGAGGGGAAUUUAAAACUAGGACUCAGAUUGGCUCUUAUUUUCUAUUCAAGUAUCUUGAUUUCUUUUCUGUUUCCUACAACUUUUCUCAGCUAGCAAACACAAAACUCCUUAUUUUGGGGGUUGUGGUGAGGAGAUACUGAUGUCUGCGGAGCUUGUUGGAGGGUCUGCUUUGGGAGCAGGAUUUGGGAAGUUGAUCACGGCGGUUCUAGAUGCACGGAAGAAGAUAACUCAGUUCGACUCCAGCCUCAAAAAACUCGAAGAGAGACUCAAUUCCAUAACUCCAAGUAUCGUAGAGGUGAAAAAGUUCAUGGACCAGUCGAAUCAUCCAAGGGUGGAAUUGGAGAAGUUAAUCCAAAUCUUAAAAGAUGGGGAGAAGCUAAUCCACAAGUGCUCCGAGGUCUCUAGUUGCGACUACUUCAAUAAUUGGAGGUACGCCAAUAAAAUUAAGGCCUUGGAUGGCUCAAUUGAAAAAAAUUUUCAGGUGGAAAUGCAAGUCAUACAACUUUGGAGCACCACGGUCCUGCCCAAAUCAAAUAGAUUGAGUUUGAGUAACAGAGGGGUUUCCGAUAACUAUGAAAGUUUGGGUUCCUGUGAGGCUACUGAUCCGCCGGCUUUUAUGGUGGGACUAGAUGUGCCUCUCAAAGAAUUGAAGAGGCGGCUGUUUACGGAUGGGGAAUCAAGGAUUGUGGUGUCGGCUCCUGGAGGAUGUGGGAAAACCACUUUGGCUAAAAGGCUUUGUCACGACCAACAAGUCAAGGGUAUUCCUACAAAAUCUUGCUUUCUUUUCUUUCCCUUCAUGUUAGUAAACCAAAUAUGAAAUAUUCCAUGGUAUACAAGUGAAAUUCAUCCAAAAAUCUUUUUUGGUCUAAUGAAAUAUUGUAUGAACUCAUUGCUAAAUCACUUCUUUCUACCAUUUUGAACAGAAUAUUUUACGGACAUUUGCUAUGUCACGGUAUCAAAAACAUGCGACCUAAUUGGCAUCAUCAAGAAACUAUUUUGGCAUAAUGCUGAACGAGUGCAGGGGUUUCAAAGUGAGGAAGAUGCAGUCAACCAAUUGGAACUAAUGCUGAAGAGGAAAGUAGAAUCUGGUCGUAUACUGUUGGUCCUAGAUGACG
rnacentral:lncRNA from 1 species